UGUGGGAGCUGGCUUGCCUGCGAUGCUGGCACCUCGGUCAUUCAGUUGCACCGAGGUGAUGCUAUCGCAGGCAAGCCAGCUCCCACA
rnacentral:misc_RNA from 1 species